rnacentral:rRNA from 1 species
GCAAGUCGAGCGGACCGACGGGAGCUUGCUCCCUUAGGUCAGCGGCGGACGGGUGAGUAACACGUGGGUAACCUGCCUGUAAGACUGGGAUAACUCCGGGAAACCGGGGCUAAUACCGGAUGCUUGAUUGAACCGCAUGGUUCAAUCAUAAAAGGCGGCUUCGGCUGCCGUUUACAGAUGGACCCGCGGCGCAUUAGCUAGUUGGUGAGGUAACGGCUCACCAAGGCGACGAUGCGUAGCCGACCUGAGAGGGUGAUCGGCCACACUGGGACUGAGACACGGCCCAGACUCCUACGGGAGGCAGCAGUAGGGAAUCUUCCGCAAUGGACGAGAGUCUGACGGAGCAACGCCGCGUGAGUGAUGAAGGUUUUCGGAUCGUACAGCUCUGUUGUUAGGGAAGAACAAGUACCGUUCGAAUAGGGCGGUACCUUGACGGUAC